CUGCAGUGAUUUUGGAGCCCAAAAAAACAAAGUCUGACACAGCCAGUAUAGAUAAAUUAAAAUCAGACAAAGAAGACUUUAAGACAAAUAACAUCAUUUAAGACAGAGUUUUUAUACAAUGAUUAAAGAUUAAAGUAACUAAAGCAACAUAACAAUUCUAAACAUGUACACACAUUAUUAAAUAGGUAGACUCAGUAAAUAUAAACAAAAGUCAAAAUACCUGCAGAAAUAAACUGACAAAUCACCAUGAUGGUGGGAGAUUACAGCACAUGUGUUUUUCAAUAAAUUAUUCAAGCAGGCAAAACAAUUCAGCAAAAAUAUAGAAGCACUGAAUAACACAAUUAACAACUUUCAUCCGAUGGGACAUUUAGAAAUGUUAUAUAUUUGAUUAGGCUAUAAAAGAUGUCUCAAUCUAUUUUAAAGAAUAGUUGUCACAUGAAUCUAAUUUAUUCCUCAAACUCAAAGAAUCUAGCUGUGAAUGUGGGGGAAAGAGGGUUCAAUCUGAAGUGAACAGAAACAAAUAUUCUGUCAUGUAAUACUACAAGAAAUAGACAUUAAAAUGUGCAAUAGAAAAAAAAGUUUAAAGGCUAUAUACUUCUUGCCCUUCUGAAUCUAUGAAGAGUUUAUCACCUAGGUAUUUUUUUAACCUCAAGAAUAAUAUAUAAUACAGUUCUGUAUUCUGAUGUUUUUAACCUAAUAUUACAUCAUAGGCAUUUUGUCAUGCCAUUGUUCUUGUCUUUUUCUUAGAAAAAGAUCCCCAGCCCUAAAGUUUCCCCUUCCUUUGGCCAGAAAUCAAAAGCCUCUAAAAAUAAACUCACAUCAAUAAGACACCUGCAGACCAACACACCCAGAAAAUCAGAAUUCCUUUUAGACUCAGUCUGGGUCAACCUCCUGCACAAUAUAUUUUAAUUCCUGCCACAGCCAAAUGCAUUUCCUUUUGUUAAAAUCUCAGUUGUGGUGAAAUAAAAGCUAACUUCUGUUCUCUCAGUCAACUGGAGGUUUAGAAUCAAACUACCCACAGAUUUUCCUUUUCUGGAAUAUAGUCAGUACCACCGCUUUUCCCACCGCAGAAACCCACAACCAUUGUUUCUUUCUAGUUUUUCGAUGAGCAAAUGGUUCUGCCUGAGCUUUUUCAAGAAAAAUUCACACAAGCCUUACCUCAUUGGAAUCUAGUUCCACAACAAACUAGUCCUUGAGUCAAAGUUGCAGGGAUGACUGUUAGUCUUCUUAGGGUAGAAAGAUACAGCAAGUAAAUUUCUUCAUGCAUUAACAUGAUAAGAAGAUUUGAAAGGUAACAAGGAAAAAUGCCCCUGGCUACUUUCACUUAGAAACUGGAGUGGGCCUUGCUGUCACCUGAGUGCUAAGCCCCUGGAAAGAAAAGGCACAAUUGUGACAGGAUUUUAAGGCUCCUCCCAUCAAAAUUCUUAGUUUUCUCUUUCUUUUUCAGUCAAAUCUGAAUAGUUUUUCUAUCUGUUGCAGGAAGGCGGACCCCUUCUAGGGCCCGAAAUUGGGCUCUUGUCUAGCACUCGGAAAUGAAUUGUCCCAGGAGACAC
rnacentral:lncRNA from 1 species